GAAUGUAGUAUUGAUGCAGAUGCUCGGGAAUCAGGUGCAAAUCCUGAACGGCCCCGCCACUGUAACCGUGACGAAACCGCGAUGCCACUGAGGCGACUCAGGAAGGCGCGGAAAGUAGGAUGAACGGAAGCCAGGAGACCGGUCUGCAUAGAGGUUGCGGCA
rnacentral:ncRNA from 15 species